UCCCUGAUGGCUCAGAUAAUAAAGAGUCUGCCUGCAAUGCAGAAGACCCAGGUUCAAUCCCUGGAUUGGGAA
rnacentral:tRNA from 1 species